rnacentral:rRNA from 1 species
UGCCAGCAGCCGCGGUAAUACGGAGGAUGCGAGCGUUAUCCGGAUUUAUUGGGUUUAAAGGGUGCGUAGGUGGCUUGUUAAGUCAGUGGUGAAAUCGUAGAGCUCAACUCUGCAAUUGCCAUUGAAACUGGCGAGCUUGAGUGCAGAAGAGGUAGGCGGAAUUCGUGGUGUAGCGGUGAAAUGCAUAGAUAUCACGAGGAACUCCGAUUGCGUAGGCAGCUUACUAUGUUGCAACUGACACUGAAGCACGAAAGCGUGGGUAUCAAACAGGAUUAGAUA